rnacentral:rRNA from 1 species
AGUUCGGAUCGCAGGCUGCAACCCGCCUGCGUGAAGUUGGAAUCGCUAGUAAUCGCGGAUCAGCAUGCCGCGGUGAAUACGUUCCCGGGCCUUGUACACACCGCCCGUCACACCAUGAGAGUCGGGAACACCCGAAGUCCGUAGCCUAACCGCAAGGGGGGCGCGGCCGAAGGUGGGUUCGAUAAUUGGGGUGAAGUCGUAACAAGGUAUC